GACUCGAGGACCUUCGACGCGACCGCUCCAGGCCCGCUGCGGGGGCCUUAGGCCGGUCUUUCAGAGGGCGCGGGAACCGCAGAAAGAGCGUUUGCAGCUUUAUGAGAACGAGCCAAACUAGGAGGCCUGGAGGUCAAGGAGAUGAAGCUCACUCACUUCCUGGAAGGUCUGCACAUCAGGACCAUAUUUACUUCAUAGAGUCAGGGAGAGCACCAUCUUUUUCUUUGGUUUUGGACUGUUUUGGUAUAAUUCAUUUCUGAAUACAUAUGGUCCUAGCAUCAUCCUUUUAUCUGGCAGCUCAAUAAUGAUUUGCUCAGCUAUUCUUUCUGAUAGUGUUUUUGUAUAGGCUAUUUAUUGCUUAUUUUGUCAAUUUGGGUAUCAUUUUUUGUAAAUAAUUAUCUCUAUAUCCUCUGUUUU